rnacentral:rRNA from 1 species
AAAGCCUUCGGGUGAGUACAGCGGCGGACGGGUGAGUAACACGUAGAAAUUUGCCCAGUAGUGGGGGAUAACGUUUCGAAAGGAACGCUAAUACCGCAUACGCCCUACGGGGGAAAGGGGGCUUCGGCUCUCGCUAUUGGAGAAGCCUGCGUCGGAUUAGCUAGUUGGUGGGGUAAAGGCCUACCAAGGCGACGAUCCGUAGCUGGUCUGAGAGGAUGAUCAGCCACAUCGGGACUGAGACACGGCCCGA